ACGUGUUGUUCAGCGUGGUUCCAC
rnacentral:siRNA from 1 species